rnacentral:rRNA from 1 species
GCAGGUUGAAGCGCGGGUAAGACCGCGUGGAGGACCGAACCCACCUGGGUUGAAAACCGGGGGGAUGACCUGGGGCUAGGGGUGAAAGGCCAAUCAAAUUCCGUGAUAGCUGGUUCUCUCCGAAAUGCAUUUAGGUGCAGCGUCGGUCGAUUGCGUCGCGGGGGUAGAGCUACCGGAUGCUUGCGGGCCCUUGUUGGGUACCAACAGCAGCCGAACUCCGAAUACCGUUGACGUGUAUUCCGGCAGUGAGUCGGCGGGGGAUAAGCUCCGUCGUCGAGAGGGAGACAGCCCAGACCGUCGUCUAAGGUCCCGAAGCGUGUGCUAAGUGGGAAAGGAUGUGGAGUCGCAUAGACAGCCAGGAGGUUGGCUCAGAAGCAGCCAUCCUUGAAAGAGUGCGUAACAGCUCACUGGUCUAGUGGUUCCGCGCCGACAAUGUAGCGGGGCUCAAGCACACCACCGAAGACGCGGCAGCAAUCUUCAUGGUUGCUGGGUAGGAGAGCGUCCUGCGAGGGGCGAAGCGGCCGGGUAACCGUGCCGUGGACUUCGUGGGAGUGAGAAUGCAGACAUGAGUAGCGAGAGACGGGUGAGGAUCCCGUCCGCUGGAUGACCAAGGGUUCCGGGGCCACGUUCGUCGUCCCCGGGUGAGUCGGGUCCUAAGGCGAGGCCGACAGGCGUAGUCGAAUGGAUGAACGGGUGGAUAUUCCCGUACCGACCAUGGACCGGCAAAACCGAGACGGUGAGUACUAACCUCCGCCUCGUGGUGGUUCCUUCCUUCGGGUUGGUGUCGCCGCGUGGUGUUGGGAGCGUAGCCGCAGUAGGUCAGCGCAGGGGUGACACGGAAUGGGAGCCGGCCGCGGAGGUGGUUUUCCGUGGUCAAGCACGCAGCCAGUCAUGUAGGCAAAUCCGCAUGGCGCGCAUGGCGAGGUGUGAUGAUGGGAGCCGUUAUGGCUCGAUAUCCGGUUGUCCAGGCCGUCGAGAAAAGCCUCGGCGUGAGGGCCAUGGCCGCCCGUACCCCAAACCGACACUGGUGGUCAGGUAGAGAAUACCAAGGCGAUCGAGCGAAUCCUGGUCAAGGAACUCGGCAAAUCACUCCCGUGCCUUCGGUAUAAGGGAGACCCGCUGGGGUGAACCGGCUAGCCCGGGGAGCUUUGGUGGGUGGCACAGACCAGGGGGUAGCGACUGUUUACCAAAAACACAGGUGCAUGCGAAGGCGAAAGCCGCUGUAUAUGCACUGACGCCUGCCCGGUGCCGGAAGGUUAAGAGGAUCCGUCAGUCCUUCGGGAUGAAGCGGUGAAUUCAAGCCCCGGUAAACGGCGGUGGUAACUAUAACCAUCCUAAGGUAGCGAAAUUCCUUGUCGGGUAAGUUCCGACCUGCACGAAUGGCGUAACGACUUCCCCACUGUCUCGACCAGGAGCUCGGCGAAAUUGCAGUACGAGUAAAGAUGCUCGUUAAGCGCAGAAGGACGAAAAGACCCCGGGACCUUUACUAUACCUUGGUAUUGGCGUUAGGCGCGGAUUGUGUAGCAUAGGCGGGAGGCUUCGAAGCGUGGGCGCCAGCUCAUGUGGAGCCGCAAGGUGAAAUACCGCUCUGUUCUCGUUUGACGUCUAACCUCGACAAGUCAUCCUUGUCAGGGACAGUGCCUGGCGGGUAGUUCAACUGGGGCGGUUGCCUCCCAAAGAGUAACGGAGGCGCUCAAAGGUCCGCUCAGCCCGGUUGGCAAUCGGGUGUCGAGUGUAAUCGCACAAGCGGGCUUGACUGCGAGGACGACGGUCCGAGCAGGGACGAAAGUCGGAGAUAGUGAUCCGGUGCCGGCGCACGGGCGCGGCAUCGCUCAACGGAUAAAAGGUACCCCGGGGAUAACAGGCUGAUCAUUCCCAAGAGUCCAUAUCGACGGGAUGGUUUGGCACCUCGAUGUCGGCUCGUCGCAUCCUGGGGCUGGAGCAGGUCCCAAGGGUUCGGCUGUUCGCCGAUUAAAGCGGCACGCGAGCUGGGUUCAGAACGUCGUGAGACAGUUUGGUCUCUAUCCUCUGCGCUCGUUGGAAUCCUGAGGAGGCCUGCCCAUAGUACGAGAGGACCUGGGUGGACGAACCUCUGGUAUGCCGGUUGUC